rnacentral:rRNA from 1 species
UACGUAGGGUGCAAGCGUUAAUCGGAAUUACUGGGCGUAAAGCGUGCGCAGGCGGUUUUGUAAGUCUGUCGUGAAAGCCCCGGGCUCAACCUGGGAAUUGCGAUGGAGACUGCAAGGCUUGAAGCUGGCAGAGGGGGGUAGAAUUCCACGUGUAGCAGUGAAAUGCGUAGAGAUGUGGAGGAACACCGAUGGCGAAGGAAGCCCCC